rnacentral:misc_RNA from 1 species
GGAUAAAGCACAAACUAGAGUGGGUUGAUGUCAUAUGACAUGUAUGCUCAUACAAAAAGGCUUGUCGAGGGGAGGGGAGGAAUGGAAAAAAAAUGGUAGAUAAACUAAUACUAUGAUUGGAUAAUUUUUGGGGAGAGGAAGGAAAACAAAAGAAGGAAUUUUUUUUUUAAUUUUCCAUUCUUUAUUUUCCCUCCUUAUGUCUGGAUGAGUAGAAAAUAAAUGAGGGAAAAUAAAACUUGGCACUAAAAACAAUGGGUAUAUAUAUAAUUUUUUAGGUAGAAGUCUAGUUUUUUCCUUUGAUUUCUUAUUUUCCCUCCAAUUUGGAGAGAAAAUAACU